UGGGGAAUCUUGGACAAUGGGCGCAAGCCUGAUCCAGCCAUGCCGCGUGGAUGAUGAAGGCCUUAGGGUUGUAAAAUCCUUUCGUUGGGGACGAUAAUGACGGUACCCAAAGAAGAAGCUCCGGCUAACUUCGUGCCAGCAGCCGCGGUAAUACGAAGGGGGCUAGCGUUGUUCGGAUUUACUGGGCGUAAAGCGCGUGUAGGCGGACUUGUAAGUUGGGGGUGAAAUCCCGAGGCUCAACCUCGGAACUGCCCUCAAAACUGGCGACUUGGACCCAAGUAGAGGCAAGUGGAAUUGCGAGUGUAGAGGUGAAAUUCGUAGAUAUUCGCAGGAACACCAGUGGCGAAGGCGACUUGCUGGACUUGUGGUGACGCUGAGACGCGAAAGCGUGGGAAGCAAACAGGAUUAGAUACCCGUGUAGUCCCUGAGCGGGCUGGCAAGGCGCAU
rnacentral:rRNA from 1 species